rnacentral:SRP_RNA from 1 species
GCCGGGCGCGAUGGCUCACGCCUGUAAUCCCACCACUUUGGGAGGCCGAGGUGGGUGGAUCACCUGAGGUCAGGAGUUUGAGACCAGCCUGGCCAACACGGUGAAACCCCAUCUCUA